CGGAGACCACUGUUCAAGGCCACAGAUGGAAUCACUCAGUCCUGCUGCUACUGGAGAGGGAAGGUGACCUUGACGCUGCCUCCCGCUCGGCCUGGCCCCUCCGCCUGGCGUUUCAGGGCUGCACGGAGUAGGUCUGGCGGGCGGGGGGCGGGGCGCAGGCACCCGGGACGAGGGUUGCCAUGGGAACCGCUAGGGAGGCGUCCCCAGCCCGGGAGCCGGGAGGAGCUCGGUGGGAGGGGAGCGGGAGGCGGAGGGGGCUGCGCUGUCCGACGUGGGGAGACUGCGGCGGAGGGAGGAGGCGAGGGGCGGCAGGCACGGGCGGAAGUGACGGAAGCCAGGGCCCGAAGAUGGACGGAAUCUGUCGCCUCUGCACAGCCUCAUUCAGUUGUGUCCUUCCCAGACCCUCAGACUCGCCCACUACAGCGUCCAGCGCUGCCCGGGCGGGGGAGAAGGGGCGCCCUCCCGGGGGGGAUGGGUAGGGGGUGUCGGCCGGGGAAAUCAGGCCAUUUCCCGCCUCCCUUCCCCACCGGCACCCGCGCCACUCUUCCUGACAGGACCACCGAUGCCCUGCUCCACACCAACUGCGUCCUUUUCCCUAGAGAGAAACUGAGGCAGAGAGGGGUAGGAAUGGGUUUUUGAAGUGUUGGCGGGGGUGGGGGUGUCCUUUGAAGCCUCUACCCAGCCUAUCAACCCUGAGGCGUCGAGGGGCGAUGGGGCUGUUUCUGUCUCCCGCCCCUGCUGCUUCCCUGGGACCCCCACCUCCCAAAGCCGAGGCUCAGGCGCAAAGGUCCCGG
rnacentral:lncRNA from 1 species